CCACAACCACCUUCGAAACCAGAUCGCAUAGUUGUUCCCACUGCCUCACACAUCAACAAACCCAAAACAUCCAACCCCCAAAAUUCGAAACAAAAAACAGAAAAAAAUUUACAAAAUUGUUAUGCCUCUAAAACCCAGUCGCUCUAUCAGCCGCACAUUAGUCGUUCCAGCACCUCCAAUAUCUAAAUCGUGCCAUGGGCUCUAUUGAUUGUAUGAUUGUUGGUUUUUCUUGGCUGUGAAAGGAUAA
rnacentral:lncRNA from 1 species